rnacentral:rRNA from 1 species
ACGGUUACAUCACGUUGAAACACCGGUUCUCGUACGAUUACCGAAGUUAAGCAACGCUGUUCCUGGUCAGUACCUAGAUGGGUGACUGCUUGGGAAUACCAGGUGCUGUAAG